GGUGAACGCUGGCGGCGUGCCUAACACAUGCAAGUCGAGCGGUGCAGUUUGAAGCUUCGGUGGAAAGCUGCAUAGCGGCGGACGGGUGAGGAAAACGUAGGAACGUGCCCCUUGGAGUUGGAUAGCCACGGGAAACUGUGGGUAAACCGACAUAGACUCGAGAGAGUAAAGGCCGAAAGGCGCCAAGGGAGCGGCCUGCGGCCCAUCAGGUAGUUGGUAGUGUAAAGGACUACCAAGCCGACGACGGGUAGCCGGUCUGAGAGGAUGGCCGGCCACACUGGAACUGAGACACGGUCCAGACUCCUACGGGAGGCAGCAGUGAGGAAUCUUGCGCAAUGGGGGAAACCCUGACGCAGCAACGCCGCGUGAGUGAGGAAGGCCUUCGGGUCGUAAAGCUCUGUCAGAUGGGAAGAAAUGGAUGGGGGCUAAUAUCGCCCAUCCUUGACGGUACCAUCAGAGGAAGCACCGGCUAACUCCGUG
rnacentral:rRNA from 1 species